UACGUAGGUGGCGAGCGUUGUCCGGAUUUACUGGGCGUAAAGAGCGCGCAGGCGGCUGGUCAAGUCCGAUGUGAAAGCUCCCGGCUUAACUGGGAAAUUGCAUCGGAAACUGAUCGGCUGGAAGGUGGGAGAGGGUAGCGGAAUUCCCGGUGUAGUGGUGAAAUGCGUAGAUAUCGGGAGGAACACCAGUGGCGAAGGCGGCUGUCUGGGCCAGUUCUGACGCUGAGGCGCGAAAGCGUGGGGAGCAAACAGG
rnacentral:rRNA from 1 species